GGGAAACAGAAGAUUCCCUUGAGAGUAACAGGCUGGAGUUGAUUUCUGAGACAAAGAAAAAGAAUAAUGGCAGAGUUAUAAAUGAGAUGAUGUCAAGAACCUUCAGUUUGAGAAGACAGGAGAUUGUAGGUCAAGCCCCAAGUGUUGCAGAUCUUCUAGAGAGAUGGCCUGCCCUCUUUGAACCAUCACAGAUCUGUGAAGAGUUCCUGAGAAUCAGUGGCAUAUCACUUGAGUCGACAUUUAUGUCACAGUUGGACAGGCAAACUCCAAAGCUGUUGUCACUUUUCAACGCAAAAGGAGGAGCUGUCGGUCAAAGAAUCAAGUUACAAAUGAUGACACUCAUCCAGGAUCCAUCUGCCUCUGUGGAGAAAAGGAGAGAAGUGGUCCUGAGAUGCCUGAUUGAGUACAUGGGGGGGAGAGACAGGAAGACCUCAUCAGUGUCCACCAUAGUCAUGAUGAAACAGAGGUGCAAGCUGAGCUUGGCAGUUGCCCACUGAAAAUUUACAUGUGCCAUCAGCCCGACACCAUUGGGAUUAUCAUAGAAGGACAGCCCGUGGUCAGAGUGCCUUAAUUAAUGUGGACUUUGGACUGUGUUCUGUGCCGAUCAUUACCUCAUAAGGUAUAUACUCAACACUGUUGUGUGCACAAUUUGGGAGUUCUUAAAAAUAAUAGUUGUUCAAAAUAUAGAAAUACUGUAAUCAUUUUUGACAUUGCAGUUCCAGUGUAAUACAAUGUGAUGUUAUGGCUCACAUUUACCUUUAUCCAAACAUUGCAGCUUGGGCAGUUUGGAUAUUUCACUUUACUGUUCAGAACAGGUUGAAAAUACACUAAUACAGUGUUUGUUUUAUAUUAUUGUGUACAUGUGCGGCCACAUUUAUUGGCUGUUUUGAAGUCAUUGUGAAAAG
ensembl:lncRNA